rnacentral:tRNA from 1 species
GUGGACGUAGCUCAGCAGGUUAGAGUCCCGGAUUGUGGAUCCGGUUGUCGUGGGUUCAAAUCCCACCGUCCACCCCA